GACGAACGCUGGCGGCGUGCUUAACACAUGCAAGUCGAACGGAAAGGCCCUGCUUGCAGGGUGCUCGAGUGGCGAACGGGUGAGUAACACGUGGGUGAUCUGCCCCUUACUUUGGGAUAAGCCUGGGAAACUGGGUCUAAUACUGGAUAGGACCAUGCUGUAGGUGGUGUGGUGGAAAGAUUAGUUUCGGUAAGGGAUGAGCUCGCGGCCUAUCAGCUUGUUGGUGGGGUAAUGGCCUACCAAGGCGUCGACGGGUAGCCGGCCUGAGAGGGUGGACGGCCACAUUGGGACUGAGAUACGGCCCAGACUUCUACGGGAGGCAGCAGUGGGGAAUAUUGCACAAUGGGCGCAAGCCUGAUGCAGCGACGCCGCGUGGGGGAUGACGGCCUUCGGGUUGUAAACUCCUUUCAGCCAUGACGAAGCCCUUGUGGUGACGGUAGUGGUAGAAGAAGCACCGGCUAACUACGUG
rnacentral:rRNA from 1 species